CCUACGGGAGGCAGCAGUGAGGAAUAUUGGUCAAUGGCCGUAAGGCUGAACCAGCCAAGCCGCGUGAAGGAAGAAGGUUCUAUGGUUUGUAAACUUCUUUUAUAGGGGAAUAAAGGUAGGCACGUGUGGAUAUUUGCAUGUACUUUAUGAAUAAGCAUCGGCUAACUCCGUGCCAGCAGCCGCGGUAAUACGGAGGAUGCGAGCGUUAUCCGGAUUUAUUGGGUUUAAAGGGUGCGGAGGUUGAUUUUUAAGUCAGCGGUGAAAGUUUGUGGCUUAACCAUCAAAUUGCCGUUGAAACUGGAAGUCUUGAGUGUGUGUGAGGUAGGCGGAAUGCGUGGUGUAGCGGUGAAAUGCGUAGAUAUCGCGCAGAACUCCGAUUGCGAAGGCAGCAUACUGGGGGAGAACUGACGCUGAGGCACGAAAGCGUGGGGAUCGAACAGGAUUAGAUACCCGGGUAGUC
rnacentral:rRNA from 1 species